AGCAAUUUUCUUGACUCUGUAUGCGAUUCGAUGUUCCAAACAUAUAUCUCACCAAAUGUCUGCUUCCAUGAUCAGUCAUGGAAAUAAACGUGCUGAAAACAAAUUGGCUCCCGAUUAAAAAACAAUAUGGACAACAAGUUAUAAAGUAAAAGUUCUGGAGUUCUGAUGCAGGUACAGUGUAAAAGUUCUGGAGUUCUGAUGCAGGUACAGUGUAAAAGUUCUGGAGUUCUGAUGCAGGUACAGUGUAAAAGUUCUGGAGUUCUGAUGCAGGUACAGUGUAAAAGUUCUGGAGUUCUGAUGCAGGUACAGUGUAAAAGUUCUGGAGUUCUGAUGCAGGUACAGUGUAAAAGUUCUGGAGUUCUGAUGCAGGUACAGUGUAAAAGUUCUGGAGUUCUGAUGCAGGUACAGUGUAAAAGUUCUGGAGUUCUGAUGCAGGUACAGUGUAAAAGUUCUGGAGUUCUGAUGCAGGUACAGUGUAAAAGUUCUGGAGUUCUGAUGCAGGUACAGUGUAAAAGUUCUGGAGUUCUGAUGCAGGUACAGUGUAAAAGUUCUGGAGUUCUGAUGCAGGUACAGUGUAAAAGUUCUGGAGUUCUGAUGCAGGUACAGUGUAAAAGUUCUGGAGUUCUGAUGCAGGUACAGUGUAAAAGUUCUGGAGUUCUGAUGCAGGUACAGUGUAAAAGUUCUGGAGUUCUGAUGCAGGUACAGUGUAAAAGUUCUGGAGUUCUGAUGCAGGUACAGUGUAAAAGUUCUGGAGUUCUG